UACGGAGGAUGCAAGCGUUAUCCGGAAUCAUUGGGCGUAAAGAGCGUGUAGGCGGUCCGGUAAGUCCGCUGUGAAAGUCGGGGGCUCAACCCUCGAAUGCCGGUGGAUACUGUCGGGCUAGAGUGCGGAAGAGGCGAGUGGAAUUCCCGGUGUAGCGGUGAAAUGCGCAGAUAUCGGGAGGAACACCAAUGGCGAAGGCAGCUCGCUGGGACGGUACUGACGCUGAGACGCGAAAGCGUGGGGAGCAAACAGG
rnacentral:rRNA from 1 species